GAGAGAGAGAGAUGAGGGGGGUCCAGUUAGCAUUAAAUAAUAGUAGAAUGAAGUAGAAAAGUGAAGAGGUGUAAGAGAAGGAGUGAGGGAGCGUGGAGCAUGUGGUUUGGUUCUUCUGAGAUAAGGGAAAUCAAUCUAUAUAUCAAUAAAAACGAUUCAUUUUCCAUCCCUCCUCAUCUCACGGAUCUUGCUUUCUCUCUCUUUCCUUCUUCUCUUCUUCUUCUUCUGCUCUCUCUUCUGUUAUAUAUAUAUAUAUAUAACCUCCACACCUUCUUCCUUCCACCCAAAUGGCCUCUUGGAAGAAGACCAUCACAACACCCUUCAAAAAAGCUUGCACCUUUUUCAACCAGCAGCCACCAAGGGAUCAAAAGAAGUCUCAACCAGACCAAGAGAACCGAGUGAUGGAUCUGCACGGGGAAGUCAUGGCAUGUGGCUACGAAGAUGUUCAAGUUAUGUGGUCUAUUCUCGACAAGUCCAAAUCCACAAACUCUUCAACCAAUUAGCUAAUCUUUUUGUAUGCUAAUGUUAAGGUCAUUCUCAUCCCACUCUAGUCUAGCUCUGUCAAGUGUUGUUGUAGGGAAUCCCCAUGAUUGAUGACAAAAUCAUGGCGAGAUUAUUAUGAUGAAAUGUAGAUUAGAUUUUUUUUUUUUCUCUCUUGUUUAGUCAAUAGUCAAUGUUCAAAUUUCGAGACAGAAAAAUAUCUUAUAGAGGACAACUGAACAUGGGACAGGGUGUCCGACUGUCAUGCCCAUCAAUUAUUGAUGAUAAGAAGAAUGAGGAUAACAUAAUAUUUUAUUCUAUUUUAGUAUUUUGUUUUAUGACCAACAAAAGAUUAGUAGUAGUAUAACAAAAUCUUAAGUAUUUAAAGACAUUCCCUAUUUAGCUAAGACUCUCUUUCUUUACAUCUUUAAUUUUUCUUAUUAGAGAGAGUAUCACACCCAUCACCAACAAAACUUCUUCUUUCACCAAUUACUAUCAACUAAGACCUCACCGACAUACACUUUCACACUAAAGUGUUUCAAGAACACACAUGUACUUUUGUUCCUC